GAGUUGAUCAUGGCUCAGAUUGAACGCUGGCGGCAUGCCUUACACAUGCAAGUCGAACGGCAGCACGGGAGCUUGCUCCUGGUGGCGAGUGGCGAACGGGUGAGUAAUGCAUCGGAACGUAUCCUGGAGUGGGGGAUAACGUAGCGAAAGUUACGCUAAUACCGCAUAUUCUGUGAGCAGGAAAGCGGGGGACCUUCGGGCCUCGCGCUCUUGGAGCGGCCGAUGUCGGAUUAGCUAGUUGGUGAGGUAAAGGCUCACCAAGGCGACGAUCCGUAGCAGGUCUGAGAGGAUGAUCUGCCACACUGGAACUGAGACACGGUCCAGACUCCUACGGGAGGCAGCAGUGGGGAAUUUUGGACAAUGGGGGCAACCCUGAUCCAGCCAUGCCGCGUGAGUGAAGAAGGCCUCGG
rnacentral:rRNA from 1 species